rnacentral:rRNA from 1 species
AAAGGAAUUGACGGGGACCCGCACAAGCAGCGGAGCAUGUGGUUUAAUUCGAAGCAACGCGAAGAACCUUACCAGGUCUUGACAUCCCUCUGAAACUCCUGAUAACGAUGGAGCCUCCUUCGGGACAGAGGAGACAGGUGGUGCAUGGUUGUCGUCAGCUCGUGUCGUGAGAUGUUGGGUUAAGUCCCGCAACGAGCGCAACCCUUGCCGAUAGUUGCCAUCAUUAAGUUGGGCACUCUAUCGGGACUGCCGGGGACAACUCGGAGGAAGGUGGGGAUGACGUCAAAUCAUCAUGCCCCUUAUGAUCUGGGCUACACACGUGCUACAAUGGUCGGUACAAAAGGCAGCAAACCUGUGAGGGGGAGCAAAUCCCAAAAACCGAUCCCAGUUCGGACUGUAGGCUGCAACUCGCCUACACGAAGUCGGAGUUGCUAGUAAUCGUGGAUCAGAAUGCCACGGUGAAUGCGUUCCCGGGUCUUGUACACACCGCCCGU